rnacentral:misc_RNA from 1 species
UUAAAAUCAAUUCCAGAGUUAUCAACAUGAAGAAUCAUGAUGGGUCGUUUCAAUAACAUGAUGCUGUUCUCUCCUCACCUUAGAAUCCUCAAGAUAACUCUGGUAAAUAUAGCAACCAAAACCCCAGAAAGCCAUAAGCAAAGAGAUUACCUUCACACCAUUCAUCUUGUCAUGGAAAACCACAACAGCAGCAAUAGGAGAUACAGCCAAGGCGACAGUACUUAUUACAUUGGAAAAAAGAGAAGAUACCAAGAAAAUCAGGCCUACAACACCAACGGAACAAACCUGCCAACAUACUGCUGUCCAAACCAGUGUCAUAAUGUAAGACACCCUCCCACUAACAAAACUCGAUAUUUCUCCAUGCAAAGUCUUCCAUUCCCCACUAGCAAAAAGACCGAUGAUAGAAACACAGGUGGCAACAAGUGAUGUGAAGAUCUGCAUUUCCAACACGACAUUAAAAGUUUCCUUUUUUAUGAAUUUUUGAAAGGACAGCUGCAUGAGAGAAAGNGAAGAGAGUAUAUUGCCGAAGCACCAAGGGUACAAACGAAGCCAAUGAUAUACUUCCACUCAGAGACUCCUGAUGGACUGUCUGAAUCAUCAUUGACGGCAAUGAGAGCCGCAGAAAAUGAAAGCACAACCACAGAGUUGAGAAUUAAGGAAGUGAACUUCUGAGAAUUUAUGAAGUAUGAGAAAAUAGCAUUGAAAGCU